CCGUGCAGCCGGGGUGUUAGCGGUACCUUGAACCUGCAAUCCGCUAUAGCAGGGGUGAUGUUACGUUGAGGGCUUUCUUUUUAUGGCAGUCCCCGAGAUUCGGUGUUGAAAAGUCGGGUCUUACGCGGCGGAAGUCCGCGAACCGCGUCAGGUCGGGAACGAAGCAGCGCUAAACGGAAAUCUCCGGGCGCCGUAAGGGUGCCUGAUUUGAGCCGAUUUAUCGGGGGAACACCAUAGGAAGCGUGUUCGAGGCGUAACGCACGG
rnacentral:SRP_RNA from 1 species